UAUUUCAUAUAACCUAAUAAAAUAUCUUAACUUAAACUAUUUUAUUACUAUUCAUAAACUAUUUUACUAUUAUUCACAGAUUUCUCAUCUCAUCUCAUUACCCAAACAUACCCUUAGAAUCCGGCUAGGAAUACAAAAGAAUUCAACAAAUUGACAUGGCCUUGGGCAAAAUCAAUUAAGUUUUUUUUUUUUCCCCUCAAAUUUCAUUUUCAGCCCCAUUAUUCCUUUCCCUUGUUCCUUUCCACUUCGUUGUCCUCGCCAUAUGGUAUAUUCCACUUUCCUACUCCAAACACCCUCGUUAUUACCAUUUAAUUUAUUUUUGACAAUGAAAUAUAGAUUAGGAGGUGAUUGGGGAGGGAAAAGAAAAGAAAAAUAAGAAUAAUAAGAAAGAAAGGGAACUAGGAAAGAAAGGACAGGCGUGGAAGGCUUUGGUUAGGCCUGUUCAUCUGAGCAAGGUAAAAAUCGGCCCGAGCCCGAAACCCAGAUAAGGUUGUAGUUUUCGGAUCGGGUUUGACCCGGGCCGGUCCCUGCAUUGUAAUAACCAAUUUCAUCUGGUCUGGAUCCGAGUAUGAAACCCAGGUUCUAUAUUAACACCCGGUACUGUCCCGGGUUGGUAUAAAUUAAAAAAGGCCAGACCUAACCCUAAAACAACUUUCUAGCCGCUUCAUCUCUCUGGCAUCUUCAUUUCUUCUGGGUCUCUAACUCUCCAAUCCACAAUCCAUGGACCAUCUCUCUCUCAAUUCUUGCAUUUGUAUCUCUCUCUCUCUCUCUCUCUCUCUCUCUCACACACACACACACACACAAGCAAAACCCUGGCCACCGUUGUCUCUCUUUCGUGACCACGAUAUGUUGCACCGCCAACCUUUCAGCUAAGUUGGUGUAUACUUUUUUCUUUUUCCAGAUCUACAAGAGGGUCUUAGAAAAGUUUAUGUAUAUUUGUAUUCAUCCUCGUGCCGUCGACUUCAUCAUCCUUGGCUCUCUUUCAAUCAGAUCACUUGAAGGUGCUACUUGGUGUGAGAUUAAAUCAUUGAUAGAAGACCAUGCUAAUGAUUUUGUAAUUCAUAUCUUGUAAUUUUGUAUUUUGUAAUGUAAUGUGUAAAUAAAAAAAUAAUGUAAUAUGUAGUGGCUUGCAUGCAUUUUAGUUUUUUAUUUUUAUAUA